rnacentral:rRNA from 1 species
UACGUAGGGGGCAAGCGUUGUCCGGAUUUACUGGGCGUAAAGAGCGCGUAGGCGGCUAGAUAAGUCCGGUGUGAAAGUCACAGGCUCAACCUGUGAAUGCCGCUGGAAACUGUCUGGCUAGAGUCCGGAAGGGGCGAGUGGAAUUCCUGGUGUAGCGGUGAAAUGCGCAGAUAUCAGGAGGAACACCAAUGGCGAAGGCGGUUCUCUGGGCCUUACCUGACGCUGAGGAGCGAAAGCGUGGGGAGCAAACAGG